GCUCAAAUGGCGAAAUAGGCAGACGCGCUGCAUUCAGAGUGCAGUCCGGAAUUCCGGGUGUGGGUUCAAGUCCCUCUUUGAGCA
rnacentral:tRNA from 1 species